ACAAGAGAGAGAGAAUGACUCAAACUGUGUAAUCUUUUAUUAAUGAGAGAGUUUACAAUAUAUAGGACAUGAUACAAGGGUUUCCAAGACUCUAAGGAUAAGGCUAAGCAUGUGAAGUCAAUACAGGAGCAAGACCAGGUUUAAAUCGAUCCAAUGGCUGAUCUCACAUGUGUAAAGCAUCUUUGCUUUUGCUUUACCUUUCCAGCAUGCGACAGGCUGUCAUGGUGAGCCUUAUCCUUCUUCCAACGGUCUGAUUCUUAUCCAAGACUGAGGCUCAGACCGUUUACCACUCUAACUCCUCAUUUUAACUUUCACCUUUGGUUAAUGUUUGUGAUCGCCCUUGAUAUGUACGGCUUGUACGGCCAGUACCUUCAGUACGGAUUGUACGGCUAUGGCUGAUCACAAACUCUCCUUGUCCGGCCAGUACCUUCAGUACGGAUUGUACGGCUAUGGCUGAUCACAAACUCUCCCAAAGACUCAUACCUUCUUUCCCUUUCAGUCUCUCAACUCCUUGUGCCUUCUCACACAUUAUACUCAGCUCAUUUCAACACUCCCCCUCAA
rnacentral:lncRNA from 1 species